CACAUUGUUUGGUUUGAUAGUUUAUUUAUUCAUGUCUACUAUCCAAUGUGAUUCAUGUGCUUAUAUGAUUACCUUGAAUGUGAUUUGGAACGCAUUCCUAAAUCUCAUUCAUACUCUGGCCAGAGAUUCUAAAUCAUAUCAUAGAGUAUUCUCCCUCAAACAGUUUGAAGGUUAGAGAUCCCUUGUUGCGCAUUCACUUGCCUCCAUGACUAAGUGGCUUGACCCCAACGAUGUCGUGGGCACCCCGAGGGGGUGACUUUGACAUAAUCAAAGAUCAAGGACUUAACCACAAGACAACUGUGAUGACUCAGGUCAAAGGACUACUUUGCAUUAUCCCAACCAUGAGUUCUCAUGUGAUAUGAGUAUGAGAACUCUUCGCGUUCAGUGAACUCAUUCUCUACUGAGCACCUACGUACUUGUCUUGAUGUCACACACACCAAUGACUCGAGACUAGUCACUCUCCCUGAGAAAAGACAUAGCACAUACCGAUCUUGACGGACUGUCAAUGCCCAAUUGACAAUCCUAUGAUCAGGAACUUUUAGGAUGUGUCUACGAAAGAAUGGUCUCAUGAAUCUAACUUCAUUAGAUUGCAUUCUCCCAAUCACAUAUUCCUUGGACUUUAUCGUUUAAGCAUAUAACAUUUAUAUGAGACGGCUCAAACAAUAAUCUUUGCCCUUUAUAUUAAACUAGAUUAGUUUAACAUGUGAAAUGUCCGUAAAGUAUCAUCACAUGAUUGGUUUUAGGGCACAUUUCCAACAUAGGGAUCCCCAUCCCUCAGCCUAGAAAAGCUAUUACUGCUGUUUCAGAGUCUUUCCCCUCUAUUUAUAUUGAAGCUGCCAUUGCUAUUGGUACCUCUGGGGUGCUGGAGUAAUGUCUCCCCCUCUAGCAUUUAUUCUAACCAUGGCCUCCUUGCCCAAACUAGUUAAAGAGUUUGGGAAAAUCGAGAUAAAUCUGAGGUCUCCAAAGCUUACCUCCACGCCUCAAUAUCUUCAAGAUCGGUGAAGAGUCUUCAAAGAAUGGAUGCAGAAGGAUUUCACGGCCUCCUUUAACCUCAAGGCACUUCAGGAUGUUGAGAAAGUCCUCACUGAAUUGUACAAGGCUCAACAGAUAUCAAAGGUUAAAUAUGAGUCAUUUCUUUCUUUCUUCGAGAAUUUGAGAGCUCUAUGGGACCAACAUCUUCGUGCAUAAAGGUAAGCAAAUAGAGUGAAGUGUUAUAAGGAAAAGCACUCUAUAACUUCCAGCUCCUUGUAGAAGUUAGUAGAAGAGGGCUCAGCCAUGGACGAUCGCAUCGUGGUGGUUGCUGCUGAGAUCCAAAAGUUGGAGGAGUAACUUUUUAUGCUGAAGGCUGAGUAGAUGACUUUCUCAAGCAAACUUUAUUAGAAAAUUAAGGAAGUGAAGAGAGUCAAUCUUGAAGUGGAAGAUUCUGAAGCUUAAUUAGCCAACAGUAACAUCUCCUUAAAGGAGCUGGGCAAAAUCUUUACUAUUAUGCAGACCUAUCAUUCCAGCAUAGCUGCCCUAGUUAGAGAUGUAAACUUGGUAGGCUAGGAUCUCUUGUAACCUUCUAAAGCCUUACCGAACUUACAUUGAUUUCUAUAAGGAGUACAACAUCUUGCCCAAAAGUUAAUGCAUAAGGGGUGGUCCUAGUUCCUGCCAUCUUGGAGGUUCUAUAAGCCCAAAGAGUAUCUCUCAACUUCUCAUGCCACCUUUCUGGGCUAUCUACCACCAUUAUCUUAAUGAAAUUCACCAAGAUAUUAUUGCUAGCUUGUGCUUGACCAUUGGAUUAGGGAUAAUAAGGGCUAGUUUGGACCAACUUUAUCUUAAACUUGUCUGCAAACUUUUAUACUUCUUUUGAGAUAAAUGAUGGCCCUCUAUCUGUAACAAUUGUCUCGGGCACUCCAUAUCUAUGUAGGAUCUUGGUCUCAAUGAACUUCUUCACAGCAACUGAAUUGAUGGUCUUUACAAUUAAAGCUUCUACCUAUUUAGUAAAGUGGUUAGUUGCCACAAUUAUGAAGGUGUGCCUCUUGCUAGAAGCCGUGUAUAUUUGCCCAAUAAAGUCCAUUGCCCACCCUCUAAAAGGCCAUGGUUUCAUUAUCAGAUUCAAAGGCACUGAUGGUAAAUACUGGAGGGUUCUAUGUCUCUAACAUUUUUCACACCGUCUAGCAUAGGUCUUACAAUCUUUUUCCAUAUCGGGCAAAAAGUAGCCAUACCUUCUCAGUAACCACCUCAUCUUUUUUCCAGCUUGAUGUGCUCCACAGAUUACUUCAUGUAUGAUAGGAGCAUAUUUAUGCGCCUUAGUUAGCUAGUUCUUAUGCAUUUCCAUGGUGUUUUCUUAGUUAAAGUAGUCUUUUAAGCUAGUUUUAUGUCUUUUCAGGUUUUAAGGGCAAAUCAUAUAAAAAGAUGCAUUUUGGAGCCUUUUGGAGCAAAAUGGAGCUUGGAAUGAAUGUCACCCCUCGGAGCAAUGCCCUCAACUAAUUGAGAAUGGAGGUUGGGAAAGUGCAAACGCCAUUGGUUUUCAAGAUCAAAAUCAACCCAGAAAUGAUCCAUUUUCUAAUACAUACAAUCCGGGAUGAAGGGAUCAUCCAAAUUUCAAAUGGCGAGAACCCCAACAAGGCCAACAACAAAGUACAUUUAGGCAACAACCCCCAGGUUUCUAUCAAAGGCCGUUUGCACCAACUCAACCCCAAGCACAACCUGCCCAAAACAAAUCAGGUUCUUCUAUUGAUAAUGAUCAUAUUUUUCAAUUACUAACUUCCUAGUUCACAACCUGCACAACCUGCACAACCUGCACAUUAAGCAUAUUUAUACGCCUUAGUUAGCUAGUUCUUAUGCAUUUCCAUGGUGUUUUCUUAGUUAAAGUAGUCUUUUAAGCUAGUUUUAUGUGUUUUCAGGUUUUAAGGGCAAAUCAUAUAAAAAGAUGCAUUUUGGAGCCUUUUAGAGCAAAAUGGAGAUUGGAAUGAAUGUCACAUAUUUGGAGCCAAGGUUUGGAUGAAUUUGAAGACUUGAAGAUGAUGAUUCCUACUUGAACAAGGUUUCCUAGUUGAAGUAGGAAAGUGCUUACAUGAAGAAGGAUUCCUAAUCGACGAAAGAUUCCUAGUUGAAGAUGGAUUCCUAGGAGAAUGAAAAUUCCUACUCAAACAAGGUUUCCUACUUGAAGUAGGAAAGUUAAACCUAAUUGGCCUUGAGUUUCAGCAACAAAUAAGUAUUCCAAGUCAAAGAAGGAAAAGGAAUCCAAAAAGAAGAAGGAUUGAUCAAGACAAGUUUCCCUAUUCCUAAUGUGCAAAGGUUUCAGCUACAAAGAGGAGUCCUAAACACUUUAGGACACCUUAGCCUUAUCUUAGAGGAGUGCCACAUCAAUUUCAGCAAGGAUAUCUAUUUUCCUGGCCUUGCAAGGCUUUCUAGAAGCCUUAUCCAUUGUUUCCCUUUGUUGCUGCAACUAUUUGACCUUUUCCCCUUUUAAUUCUGAUUUCUAAGCCUUUUUCCUUGUUGAUUUGGGUUAUCCAAGUCCAUAUAUGAUUACCCUAGGGUUUUAGGUGCCUAUAUAUACUCAUAUCUCAGCCCUAGCCGAAUUACCACCUCUCAUACACAUCAUUCACGCCAGAAACAUACACCCACUCUUUGUCGUGGCCUUCCACCACCAUUCUCUCUAAUUCCAGCCAAAAAUCAUCCCUUGGCGCACCAACCAUCAACCCUAACCACUACCACACUCUCCCUCAUCCAUUCUACACCAUUUAAUAACCCAAAACCUGUCCACAAACUCUAUGCCGCAGCAAGGAGGAAGGAGGAACUUCGUGGAUGCACUUGCUGUCCAAGUUGGAGUAUCUAGGUGUUUUCUUUCCUUGGAUUUCAAUGUUUAAACUUAUUUAUCUUUGCUUUGUGCGUAUGAGGAACUAAACCCCCCUUGCCUAGGGGGGAUUCGAAACCAUGUUUAUGCUUGCUAUAUGAUUUGAUUACUUCUAAUUGCGUUUCAUAAGUUGUGAAUUCAAUUUACUUAUCUAUAUGAAUUAAAACUGAUUUGUGUGUGUUGGUUGAGAGUGCACGCUUAAUUUUCAUGCAUAAGUUUGAUGCUGCUAGGAUAUAAGGGAAUUUCACCUAAUCGUUACGAACUUAUAUUCAAAAGUAGUAAAGGUUUGUGAUCACAAUCGUGUUAAGUAAAUUCUUGGCAUAAGUUUCAUGCAAUUCAUAGUAACGAGUGCCUCGCCAAUGCUUAUGAUUUUCAUAGAACUUAAUGAUCUUUGCUUGUAUCUUUGUUAUGCAAUUCAUGAAGGGAACUUGUGAGGAAUGCUUUGGGUUGUCGUAUGCAAUUCAUCCAAUUCGAUAACUUUAGGAAAAUCUGAGGGUUAAUUAGUGCAAUUCACGGUUAAUCUGGGGCGUUGGGAAUUCAUGGUUUAUUGAAAAGCAAUUGGAAAUCAUUUUGUAUGCAAGUGUGACAUGUGUAGAGAAGAACCCCUUAGCUAGCUUUUUAUCCAUUCACUUUUAUCAAAUUCGUUUUAAAAUCUGUUCAAGUUACAAAGUUUUUGUUUUGUUUUUAAUUUCGUCAAAACCAAUUCCCCCUUUAUUUUGUUGAGUCAUCUUAGUUAGAAAUCAAUUUAGUUUGUGUUUUUAAGUGUCUUGAGUCAAGUUAUAACCUAUUUUCGUCCAAAUUGUGUUUUGUAUUCAAAACUGCCCAGAAAGUGUUUUUAAGGCAGUUUUGACUGUUUCUGGGCUGUUUUGAGUCUUUUGGUUUGUUUUAAUGUUUUAGACUUUAGUUUUGCAUUCUUUAAGUCUAGUUUAGUGUUUAAACUUUGUUUUUACGUUUUGAGUCAGUUUUCAAGUGAUUUAGCAAUCCCUCCAAAUCCCCGGCCUAGAACGAUCCCUACUUACAUACUUUGCUACAAUUGAUAAAAAGAGGGUCUAAUUUGUGUGCUUAUAUAAUUCGCAUCAAUGUACUUCAGCCAUCACCCUCAUUAACUCUUCCAUGCCUAAGCUGUUGGAAAUGUGCCCUAAAACCAAUCAUGUGAUGAUACUUUACGGACAUUUCACAUGUUAAACUAAUCUAGUUUAAAUAUAAAGGGCAAAGAUUAUUGUUUGAGCCGUCUCAUAUAAAUGUUAUAUGCUUAAACGAUAAGUCCAAGGAAUAUGUGAUUGGAAGAAUACGAUCUAAAGAAGUUAGAUUCAUGAGACCAUUCUUUCGUAGACACAUCCUAAACGUUCCUGAUCAUAGGAUUGCCAAUUGGGCAUUGACAGUCCGUUAAGAUCAGUACGUCCUGUGUCUUCUCUCAGGGAGAGUGACUAGUCUCGAGUCAUUGGUGUGUGUGACAUCAAGACAAGUACGUAGGUGCUCAAUAAAGAAUGAGUUCACUGAACACGAUCAACGAAAAGUUCUCAUAUUCAUGUCACAUGAGAACUCAUGGUUGGGAUAAUGCAAAGUAGUCCUUUGACUUGAGGCAUCACAGUUGUCUUGUGGUUAAGUCAUUGAUCUUUGAUUAUGUCAAAGUCACCCCAUCGGGGUGUCCACGGCAUCGUUGGGGUUAAGCCACUUAGCCAUGGAGACAAGUGAAUGCGCAACAAGGGAUCUCUAACCUUCAAACCGUUUGAGGGAGAAUACUCUAUGAUAUGAUUUAGAAUCUCUGACGCCAGAGUAUGAAUGAGAUUUAGGAAGUCGUUCCAAAUCACAUUCAAGGUAAUCAUAUAAGCACACGAAUCACAUUGGAUAGUAGACAUGAAUAAAUAAACUAUCAAACCAAACAAUGUGGUCAAGAGUAUUGUAUUAGAGAAAGACCGUAUUCCAUUUGUAGUCCUAAACUGAAUAUGUUCUCCACCUCUUCUGAUUAGCUUGGGUAACCAUGAUAUGCUGCUAGGUGUCACUCAUGGUUUGUGGAAGCCCUAAACGUGUAUAAUCACUAAAGGGAGAAUUGAAAGUAAGUUUCAAUUCACAAUCGAUGUGAAAUGGUUUUAAUCGCCCACUGCCUUGCUAAAAGGAACCUAAUGGAUCGUACACCGUGUAAGGUGGAGAUUGAAGAAAACAAUCGGAAAUGAGUAAGAAUAAUUAAAUGGUUUAAUUAUUUAUGGCAAGGAUUAAUUAAUAUGUUAAUUAAUUAAAACGAAUAAGUUCGUUAAAGACCUCGGGAUAGUUUUGGACCUUAAGGCCCAAUGGGCUUCGAACGUCAAGCCCAUUGACUUAAGUUGUAUGACAACUUAAUGAAUAAUGAUUCACAAAGGCCCAAUUAGCCCAAUAAUAUCCCAAUGGCCGGCCAUUUAGUUUUGGAGUGGGUUUUGGACUUAUUUACAAGUUUGCCACUCCAAUGAAUUAAGGUAUAAAUAUGACUUUAUUGCCAAAAUUCAAAAAGGGUUUUUCUUUUGGAGAAAAUUGGUGAGAACUUGUCUCUCCUUUUCUCUCUAAAGAGGCCGGCCCCUUGGAGGGUGUAUCUAGCCAUACUAACUACUCCAAGGUCACUCAUUUCUUCUCCAAUCUAACCUUGGUGAAGAUACUUAGAGGUUCUCAAUUUUGGGAACUUGGAGAAACCUUUUCAUCCAUCCAAAUCCAUAGAUUUUAGAUGCAAGGAAUGAAGGCCCUCUCUUUGGGUGAUUAGCCUUUGCUUAUGCAAAGAGGAAUCUACAAAGGUAUGAUUUCAACUCACUUUGUUUUGAGUUGAGUUUUGGUUCACCAAUCUACUAGGCUUUGAAUUUCAUGGGUAAUGUUUUGUUUUUGAAGUGCAUGCAAGCAUGAUUCCGCCUUUAAUUGUUAAUUGCAUGCUAUAUGAUGUUGCUUCAAAUGAACAUGUUUUUCACAAAAAUCUUACUUCAAGUGGUAUCAGAGCCUAGGUCUAGUAGUUGGUGAAUCCUUUUGGGUUUUUGUAGUUCAUAGUUUGUGAUUUAAAAGUUGUAAUAUGUUACAAGCUUUAUUCUUGUUUCUUUGAAUGUAAAUUUUGUUAGAAAAUUUGCCAUCUCAAAUGUUGUAGAUGUAGUUCAUAUGAGCAUGAAUAUUGGAGCUAAAAUUUGGUGCCAUGAUUUUGGGAUUUUCGGCCAAAUACCAUAGGGUGAAAUUUUUGGGUUCUUGUUUGACUUGUUAAAAGUGUUUUAAAGUGACUUUUGGAACCCCUAUGUACCCUAGUUUGGUUAUAUGUUAUUUCCCUAAAGUUUGAAUGGUUUUGGAAUGUUUUUGGGUGAAAAAUGUUCAUGGAAAUUUUUUUGAGUUUUUCAUGAAUGUUCUUCAUUGUUCUUGACAUUUUUGCCAAGAACAAAAAGUUUUGUGUGUUUUGAUUCAAAGUUUUGAUUUAUUUCAUAAAGUUUUAUGUUUUAUGAUUUUCAAAUGUUUAAAUGUUUUAGAUAUUUGUUUAAAAUGGGUGAUAAGAGAUAUUGGUGGGUGUGUAAGGAUUAAUUUCCUUUUACACACACCACUUGCACCACUUGAUUGCUUUAUGUCAAAACUCACAAAUCAACACACACAUCACUCCAUUUCUUCCCAAAACCGGCCACCCCCUAGUGGGGGUACUUUUGGGGCUUUUAUGCAAUUACAUAAAGUUUUGAUACUUUUGUGUAUUUGCACUUUGGCCCAAAAGUUUACGUUUUUACGUUUAGGUCCAAAAACGCUAAAGGACAAAUUGUUUUGCUCCUUUAAUGAAGUUUUUGCAUUGUUUAAAUUUUGGGUUCUAGUUGUAAUUACAUGAAGUAGUGGACUUUUGUGUUCUUUACAAAGUGACCCCAAAAGUUUAUGUUUUUGCAAUAUUGCCCAAAGGUUGUGGUUAAUUGCAUUUUGGCCCCAAAUUAGGUAGAGAACAAAAUUGUUUUGUCUCUUUAAAUGAGAAUUGGAUUUUCAUUUCAUUUAGCUCCAUUUAAAUCAAUUUUAUGGAUACAAAAACCAAAUGAAAAUGUUGCAUUCAAUUUAAUUAGUUAAAGUGUUAAUUAAUUAAAGGGUGAUUAUGAACCUAAGCCUAAUAUAAUUGAGCUAUGUGAAAGGCCGUUUCAAAUUUGUUUGAACCAUGGGAAUGUGUAGAUUAGAUUUUGGUUGUAAUUUGAUUUGAUCAAAUGUUGUAAAAGGGCAUAAGCUCUUCUUUACUUUAAAGGUAAUUUGUUUUAUGCAAAUGUUGUAAUGAGCAUAAGCUCACCUUUACUUUGAAGUACUUCUUUCUUGCUUUAUUUGAUAUGCAUGAAAAUGAAGUAGUUGGGUCCAACGCCCCUAAGACAACACGCCUUAAUGUGAUUAAACGCGUAACUAAAAUCAAUCACCAUCCCUAGACCGAGAUUCAACACAAGGCUCGUGUUGAAUCUAAACAAAGGUUCAUAGUCAUCCUAAGGCCCUAAGGCAACUAUAUAGUCCAUCAAUGAAUGCAAACCUUAUGUUAGUAGUAUCAUAUACUCUUGCUUUAAAAACCGUUUUAUAAGCAUAGUGGGAGUAUUAUAUAUACAACUAAAACAAUCAAAAUGGACCAAUAGUUGUAAUAGGACCAAAAUUGUUUUAAAAUAGAGAUUAAAAUGAAUGUUUAUAUGUGAUGAGACCUAAAAACCCUCAACCAAACCAUUAUUAAGUUGAUAAGCGUGAGAGUGCUUUGAACACUCUUUCGUGGCCUUCCACCGUGGUAGGCUCCAAUCGUUUAUGACUUGUACACCGGCUUCACCCUAUCAUGGGGGAGUGCAAAGUGCAUGCUUAUACUCAGGAGGAGUCCUAUAUACAUACUUGAUGAGGUGAGUGUAGGCAACGAGGAUGGCCAAUAUCAUAUCAUUGUGAGGCUAUUCUUGAACCCCUUCAUGAACUAAGCAUGGUGGGAAUGACUUAACUAAGUGCAAUGGAGCCAAUAUCAUAUCAUUGUGAGGUUACAUUCUCUAGAGGCCAAAUAAGAUGGGUACUUGCAAGAGAUUGCAAAUGAGUAAGCGUACUCUCUCAUUAUUAUUAAUGCUAGCCAAUAUCAUAUCAUUGUGAGGUGGGCUUGGUAGUAGUGAGUCUCCCAUACCCUACUAAGAGUUUCAUCCAAAACUCUCGAAUUCCAAUGAGGGAUAUGGAAUUUGCCAAAAAUAGUGGGUGGUGCUAUUUGAUUUAAAGACCCGAAUCAAAUGGCUUAAAAUCAAUCAAUUUAUAUUCGUUAUGUAUUUGUUUACCAAUAUAUUUGCAAACGCUAUCCAACACUUGACAAAUAAAAGCCGAAAGCUUUAGUUUCCGGACUUGGUACUACAAAACCAUAGAUUGUCUUUAAUGGCUUGUAAAUGUACCUAAGUAGUCUCAUCCUCACAAUCUUCCUAUUGAUAAUGUAUCAUUAGAAGAAUAUGUUAGAAAAUGUCUAUCAUAAAGAGGACAACACCUUUAUGUGCCAUGAUUCUUCACUUACAAAUUGUUGUAUGAAGAAAUAAGAGUUGCUUUGAACAACCCUUAAUCAAUGCAAACAUUAGUGCUUGUUUCUUUGUUACAUGAACAAGGAACUUUAGAAGUAAAGCACAAAGGGCAUGGACACUUUAUGUGCCAUGAUUCUUCACUUACAAAUUGUUGUAUGAAGAAAUGAGAGUUGCCUUGAACAACUCUUGAAAGUUUGUAAUUAUGUUUAGAACAUAAUGGUUGGUUGACAAAAAUAGUCCAUCAACAUGGACUUAUGAUGAUUUUGAAUCAUUGAGUGUUGAAGUGAUAAACCACUUAACGAGACGGAAACUAGGCAAGGACUUCACCUUUGUUUCCCUAUCCUUAUAGUUCACUAAGUUUAUUGUAAACUAUGUAGUGAACAAUAAACAACAUGCUCUCCAAAAUGUUUGAUGUGUAUAACACAAUUGAAAUAAGUUUCAAGAGAGAUAGUGGGAGUUUAGGGACCAUGACUAAUGUAGUCAAAGGUGAAAGUCAAAUGAAGAAGAUAAGAAUUAACUCCAAGGGAACAAACUUUCUUUAUGAAAGGAUGGACAUUGGAAGGGGUAUUUGCAAGAAAUGUCUUGCAAGUGUCAAGACACACCUUUCGAAGGUGUUGUAAAUUGUUCUUGAAAAGUUCAAAACAGUUGGUUCUUCUACUUGAAUGCUUGAUUCCGUAUUAGUAACUAUGUUUUACAAUCGUUGUAAAAGUGUGACUAAUAAGAAGUAGAAGAUAUAUGAGAGAAAGAAAAGGUGCUUCACAUUCGGAACGUGAAUAAAAUAUAGAUCUCUGCGAAAGCAGAUAGUACUUACUUCCUCAUAUGAACUACCAAAGAAAUUGGAAAAACCAAAGAUUGUCUUUACAUUCCAAUUUUAAGGAACUUAAUUCCGUCACUAUAGUAGAGAUGGAUAAAUGCUUUGUUUGACAAAACAUUGUUCUUUAUUAAUCAAUGAUUGGAUUAUAGUAAUCUAAUUGAUUGUCUCUAUAGUAGAGAUGAUAUGGUAGUGUUAACUGUUUAGAAUACAAUGAUGCUUAAAACCCAAAAGGUUGCAAGGUAGUGACUAAUCCCAACUAAGUUGUGAUACCUCUAAAAACAUAAGUUACGAGUUGGUGAAAGAUGGAUGCUUUGGAUCGUUAGAUCCGGAUCCAAUACCUUCUUGUUAAAAUUGUAUAUAGAGGCGAAAUGUUCGAAUCUUUAUUCUUUUGGAAAGAAGAAAGAAUCACAAAGUUGUUGAGGUUAAUUCACUUAGAUGUUAGUGGCACUUGUCCACAACAUAAUACUACUCAUGUUAUAUGACAUUCACCGAAGAUCACUCUCGGUUGGACUAUAGUUUAUUUUGAAUAAACACAAGUCCGAAUACUUUGCAAAAGGUUUCAAAGAAUUCAAGAAAUGUAAGUUGAUGAGUAAGACGUCUAAAGUAUUUACCUCCUUAGAUUUGAUCCAAGGAAAAGUAACACUUUAGAUGAGUUUCCUUGAAAGAUAUCAAGGAAAGAAGCAUCAUAAGAUAAUGAAUUUCUCCAUUAGGAGAAGAACGAACUUGAAUAAGAUUUAGUUCGGUGGAUGUUAUCUUUUACCCAUAUAUAGGAUAUAUACUUCUAAAACAAUAUGAUUGUAAAUUAGAAGAUCUUUCCAAAAAAUUUCAUGACUCCAUAAGAUGUAGUUGGAAAGAAAGACAAAUCUUAAGCAUGUUAAGAUUUGGGGUUGUGUGCUAAUAAGCAAUAUUUGUGUUUGAUAACAAUCUUGUGGGAUAUCCUUAAAUUAACUUUUGGAUAUCGCUUCUAUAAACCAACUAACAAAUGUUGUUUUGUUGGGUAGUUCAUUGUAAUCCUACAAUGUGAUUUGCCUAAGAGCAAAUGAUGAACGAGAGAUAGAACUCAAAGAAUGGGUUCUUUGAGAGACAAGAUAAUAAUCAACAAAUAUAACACCUAGUUCCUAUACCAAAAGCUCCAAGGUAGUCGAGAAGGAUUUAUAAAACCGUCUCAGUUGAAUGGUUUGAACUUUAUGACUAUGUCAUAGAGUUGCACCUCUUAAUUCGAAAGAAAUAAGAAUGAAAAUCCUUAUGACUACAUUGAGUGUGUAUAUAUGAUAUAUACUCAAGGAAAUGGUAAAGUACCAUUUGACCCGAAAUAAUGAAACCUUCAUAAGCUAAUUGGUAGCUUAAGGUGACUAUAAUCAAAGAGAAUGGUUGACUUUGAAGAAACCAUCUUUGACGAUAGUCUUGGUUUCAAUUAAUUCAAAGAUUGCUAGCUACAACUAAAUGGUGAUUCAAUGUUUGGACAUAAUAUGGGUUUCCGAAACCAUUAUUAAGAUAGUCUUGAUAAUAUAUGUCUAAAACUAUGAAUCACAAGACAUGUAAGUUGUAGAGAUCCAUCCAUCAUGGAUCUUAGCAAGCUAGUGGGAGCUAUAUGCAUCUUAUGAGAGAAAGAUCAAAUCGUUUGAUUUCUCAUAAAAAAUGUAAAUGAAUCUUUUAUUUACUAGGUUUACAAAAGAUUAGUGGGAGUUAAUCAUGUUCCUAAAAUUUAAAUAUAUAUGAUAUAUUAAUUUUGGAAAUGAAAAGAAUACUUCUUCGUUAAAGUUAUGACUUUAAAACAUUAUAUGAAGAUAGAAUGUAUAUGGGAGUUAAUCAUGUUCCUAAAAUAUAAAUAUAUAUAUGAUAUAUUAAUUUUGGAAAUGAAAAGAAUACUUCUUCAUUAAAGUUAUGACUUUAAGCAUUCUAUAACGAUAGAAUGUAUAUAGGAGACAUAGUCUAUAAACAUGGGAUGGAAAUCUAUAAUGAUAGAUUUUAGGAUAUAAUUGGAUUAUAUCAAGCCCUAAAUAAUAGACAAGAGAUGCUAGGAAGUUUCUCAUAUGAUGAUAAACUUCAAUCAAAUGGACAACUCUAGUAAGACUAAGAAGUUGCUCUUCUCAAAAAGAACGUACUCUUUGACUCCCAAAGAAAUAAUGCGUAAAUAGAAUCCUUUAUGCAUACGCAGAAAGGUGAUUUAUGUAUUUCAUAUUGUAUGAAAAACAUUGAUAUGAGUUGUACCUAGAACAGGUACAAGAUGAUGUCAGUGCAAGCCCAGGAUCAGAACCAUGGCAACUGUCAAGUGAAUCCUUAAGUAUUUAAGAAAUACUAAAGGAUAAAUUCCUCAAAGAUCGAGGAAGAAUUAGAGUAACGUAAUGGAAGCGUAAAUGUAUUAGAUUGUGAAUCUAAUCCAUCAUUAGAUGUUUCUUCAUUAUGAAUGAAGAGAUAAACAUAUAUCUCUUUAUUAUGACUAAAGAGAUAUUUGGAUGGAAACAUUAAAGUAAUGACUUUAGUGUGUUCCAUUAUGAAUGCAAAAUAUAUUGCCAUAUAGAAGUUUACAACAAUGUUGUUUGGAUGGGAAAGUUCAUUUAUGAACUCUCUAUUCGGUUCCAACCAGAAAGUGUAUGACACUAAUGGGGCGAUAGCUCAAGCCAGGGAAUCAAGGUCUCAUCAAGGUCCGAACUCAAAUGAGAGACUGAACCACAUGAUUGAGAAUCAUGUAUAAUGGUGACGUCGUUAUUCUCAAGGUUGCUUAUAUGGAUAACAUACAGAUAUCCAUGGUCUAGGCCUACUACUCAGCCAUUUAUGAAAUGACUACAGAAGAGGUAUCAUCACUGAUGAACAAGCUGAUUGGCUCUAGUGCAAGUGGGAGAUUGUUGGAAAUGUGCCCUAAAACCAAUCAUGUGAUGAUACUUUACGGACAUUUCACAUGUUAAACUAAUCUAGUUUAAAUAUAAAGGGCAAAGAUUAUUGUUUGAGCCGUCUCAUAUAAAUGUUAUAUGCUUAAACGAUAAGUCCAAGGAAUAUGUGAUUGGAAGAAUACGAUCUAAAGAAGUUAGAUUCAUGAGACCAUUCUUUCGUAGACACAUCCUAAACGUUCCUAAUCAUAGGAUUACCAAUUGGGCAUUGAUAGUCCGUUAAGAUCAGUACGUCCUGUGUUUUCUCUCAGGGAAAGUGACUAGUCUCGAGUCAUUGGUGUGUGUGACAUCAAGACAAGUACGUAGGUGCUCAAUAAAGAAUGAGUUCACUGAACACGAUCAACGAAGAGUUCUCAUAUUCAUGUCACAUGAGAACUCAUGGUUGGGAUAAUGCAAAGUAGUCAUUUGACUUGAGGCAUCACAGUUGUCUUAUGGUUAAGUCCUUGAUCUUUGAUUAUGUCAAAGUCACCCCAUCGGGGUGUCCACGGCAUCGUUGGGGUUAAGCCACUUAGCCAUGGAGACAAGUGAAUGCGCAACAAGGGAUCUCUAACCUUCAAACCGUUUGAGGGAGAAUACUCCAUGAUAUGAUUUAGAAUCUCUGGCGCCAGAGUAUGAAUGAGAUUUAGGAAGUCGUUCCAAAUCACAUUCAAGGUAAUCAUAUAAGCACACGAAUCACAUUGGAUAGUAGACAUGAAUAAAUAAACUAUCAAACCAAACAAUGUGGUCAAGAGUAUUGUAUUAGAGAAAGACCGUAUUGCAUUUGUAGUCCUAAACUGAAUAGGUUCUCCACCUCUUCUGAUUAGCUUGGGUAACCAUGAUAUGCUGCUAGGUGUCACUCAUGGUUUGUGGAAGCCCUAUACGUGUAUAAUCACUAAAGGGAGAAUUGAAAGUAAGUUUCAAUUCACAAUCGAUGUGAAAUGGUUUUAAUCGCCCACUGCCUCGCUAAAAGGAACCUAAUGGAUCGUACACCGUGUAAGGUGGAGAUUGAAGAAACAAUCGAAAUGAGUAAGAAUAAUUAAAUGGUUUAAUUAUUUAUGGCAAGGAUUAAUUAAUAUGUUAAUUAAUCAAACGAAUAAGUUCGUUAAAGACCUCGGGAUAGUUUUGGACCUUAAGGCCCAAUGGGCUUCGAACGUCAAGCCCAUUGACUUAAGUUGUAUGACAACUUAAUGAAUAAUGAUUCACAAAGGCCCAAUUAGCCCAAUAAUAUCCCAAUGGCCGGCCAUUUAGUUUUGGAGUGGGUUUUGGACUUAUUUACAAGUUUGCCACUCUAAUGAAUUAAGGUAUAAAUAUGACUUUAUAGCCAAAAUUCAAAAAGGGUUUUUCUUUUGGAGAAAAUUGGUGAGAACUUGUCUCUCCUUUUCUCUCUAAAGAGGCCGGCCCUUUGGAGGGUGUAUCUAGCCAUACUAACUACUCCAAGGUCACUCAUUUCUUCUCCAAUCUAACCUUGGUGAAGAUACUUAGAGGUUCUCAAUUUUGGGAACUUGGAGAAACCUUUUCAUCCAUCCAAAUCCAUAGAUUUUAGAUGCAAGGAAUGAAGGCCCUCUCUUUGGGUGAUUAGCCUUUACUUAUGCAAAGAGGAAUCUACAAAUGUAUGGUUUCAACUCACUUUGUUUUGAGUUGAGUUUUGGUUCACAAAUCUACUAGGCUUUGAAUUUCAUGGGUAAUGUUUUGUUUUUGAGUGCAUGCAAGCAUGAUUCCGCCUUUCAUUGUUAAUUGCAUGCUAUAUGAUGUUGCUCAAAUGAACAUGUUUUCACAAAAUCUUACUUCAUAAGCAUUUCAAUAAGAGCCCGUCUAGAGUCUUUCUUAGUAAGGUCUUAUCGUACAUAGAAAACUUAGUUUCUUGGUGCCUAAUCUUCUUACUCAUAGGGGAAGAAUAGUCUUUUAAGUAUUGAAUGAUGGAGGUUCUCUAGUCCUCUAUCAUAGGUUCUUUGGUCAUUAUAUCCAGGCUGAACCCUCUCUCAAAUAUAGAAGCGAGAUUUCUUCUUUGUACUUCUACAUUCACAUGUGCCAUCUCAUUGGCCAUCUGUGCUCCAGAAGCCAUAUGUGCCAUCUUAUUGGCAGUUAAAUUUGCUUCUCUAGGGACAUGAUUGAUUAAUACUUGAUUACCCCAAUAGUUUAGCAACUGAGUAGUUGCCAAAUAUUAACUUACCAUUGUGAGAUGUCUAUAUUUGUACUCUCCAUUCAACUGAUUAAUCACCAACUCAGAAUCCCCAUAUUUUUCGACCUUAUUUACUCCUAACUCUAUCAGGAUUUCUAAGCCAAUAAUCAAUGCCUCGUACUCUGCCUUGUUGUUGGUAACCCAGAAGGAAUGAGUAGCAAUUUUGAAUUCCCUUUGGAUCAAUGAUGACAAUCCUAACUUUUGCAACAUGUUGAAUGCAAGACCCAUCAAAAUAUAACUUCCAGGGAAUGAUCGAUAGGCUAGUUAUUCUCUUUACUUCUUGAUGGAUCAAUUCUUCUCUGCUCGAAUGACCUUUACUUAGUAGGAUCCAAAGGCUAGCCACUUCCAGAGUCCCAGUGAUGUUGACAAGUUCUUCUUUGGAGUCUUGGUGCUCAUAAAGGAAGUUUGCAAUUGCUUGCCCCUUUAUUGGUCUCUGAGGUACAUACUGAAAACUGAACUCUAGUAAUGCUAGAAUCCACUUCCCAAUUCUUCCAGUUAGCAUUGGCUUAGACAGCAUGUAUUUAAUCACAUCAGUCUUGGAAAUUAUAUGGAUAUGGCAAGGCAACAUGUAAUACCUCAAUUUGCAGGUAGUGAAGUAUAAAGCUAAACAUAGCUUCUCAACUGGGUUAUAUCUUGUUUCUACCUCAAUAAGGAUCUUACUGAGGUAGUAUAUUCUUGCUCCUUCCCUCUUCAUUGUUUUGACCCAAUAAACUUCCUGUUGAUUUCUCAGAUGUAAAGAUGUAGAGUCUCAAUAAGGAUCUUACAAGGGCAUGAGCACUGCUGGAGAGGUUAGACAAGAUUUUACUCUGUCAAAAGCUUUUUAGUGUUGUGGACCCCACUCAAACUUAUCUUGAUUAAUAAAGGAGUCAACGGUUCGAUCUUGCUAGCCAAAUUAGCAAAGAAUCUCCUUUAAAAGUUGAUAUUCCCCAAUAGCCCUUGUAAUUGCACUUUGUUGGUGAUGGAAUGUGACUCCAUUAUAGCCCGAGCUUUGUUCUUGUCUAUCUCCACACCUCUCUGAUGAACUAGGAAUCCUAAAAAGUUGCCCUAUCUAACCCCAAAGACACAUUUCUUAGGAUUCAUCUUUAACUUAUGAGUCAUCAUUCUUACUAAGGCUUGUCUGAGUUCUUCUAAGUGUUGCUCUUCAAUUUUUUACUUCACCACGAUGUCAUCAAUGUAUACCUCCAUGCUAUUCCCGAUUUGAUCAUGAAAAAUAGCAUUCAUUGCCCUUUGGUAUGUAGCACUAGCAUUUUUUAGCCCGAAUGGCAUAACUACAUAUUCAUAUGCUCCUACAUGUCUUGGGCAUCUAAAUGUUGUUUUACGUAUGUCUUCUUUAGCCAUUUUUAUUUGAUUAUAUCCAACAUUCCCAUCCAUAAAAUAUAGAACUUCAUGUUUUGCAGCUGCAUCUAUGGACAGGUCAGCCUUAGGCAUGGGGUACUCAUCUUUAGGCGUGGCUUCAUUAAUGUUUCUAUAGUCGACACAACAUCGAAUGGUGUUAGUUACAGCUUUUCAUACAAGUAUAAUGUUGGCCAACCACUUAGCAUACUUUGCAACCCUAAUAAAUUCUACAUUUACCAGCCUCUCAAUCUCUUUCUUGACUUUCUCUUCUAUUUCCUUCGACAUUAUUCUUGGUGCUUGCUUCACAGGUCUGUACCUCUCUUUGAUAGGCAUUCUAUGCUCCACUAAGCUGGGGUCCAAUCCAGGCAUCUCCGUGUAAUACCAUGCAAAAUAGUAUUUGGAUUCAUGCAAAAGGUCAACUAUUUUUGCCCGAUCUUCAGCCUCCAAGAAGCCACUGAUUUUAUAUUGGCCUUGGAUCCUCCUCUGUCCCUAAAUUAAUGGUUUCCAAAGGGUUUUGUACUUCUGGUGCUAGUUUAUCAGGCUCUGUACAUAAAAAUUCUACUGACUUUGGGGCGUAGGGCUCAUCUCCUAGCCAGUCCAAAUGAUAUAUACAUUCUGCCAUAUGAAUGGAUGCUUCCACCUAUUCUUCCAAAAUUGUUUUCUCUUCUCUAUCUUUGGUGCCCGAAGUUUCUUCUCCCCAUUCUGUCAUCUCAUUGGCUGAACUCUCUUUAAUCUAUCUUUUUUCUCUCUCAUAUUCCAACAAUCUUUUGAUUAAGGACCUGACUGCAAUCACUUGGUCUUUCCUCUUCUGAUCUAUCAUCAUUGGUGUUGGUGAGCUGGGACAAUAGAAGGCAUGUCCAAUUCCUCAUUGGUGAGAGAAAGUCCUUGCUCUAAGAGCUUAUAGGCUGUCACCUUGGUAGGGUGGUCGUUCUUAUUAGCACCUAAGCAUUUUAAGAUCCCAACAUUAGGAUUGUAAAAAUUUACUUCUGCAACAUUGGCUGUGGGGAGAAAUGCCCAUGAUUCGGCCUCCACUAUUUCCCAAAAUCCUUACUCCUUAAUUAUGGCCUCAUGGUAGACAACAACUUGUUGGUGUAAAGUAGAUGGUACAAACAGACUUUGGUGGAUCCAAUUUCUCCCUAUCAAUGCCCCAUAAGUAAAGUUGUUGUCCACCACAAAGAAUGCCAACAUCAUUUUCUUGAAUCCCAAGUCUACCUCUAAAGGUAAUAUCCUAUAGGUUUUGGUAAUGUCCCUAGAAAAACUAGAGAUUGUAAGAUCAGUAGGAAUAAAAUCUUCCUCACUUCUGCAAUGCCUCCUCAUCUGUUUGAGUGGGAGCACAUUAAUUACUGCCUCACCAUCUAUCAGCACCCCUUUUAAGGGGAUUCCCUCAUAAUGAGCUAUCACAUAUAUAAGCUUCAGAUUGUUUGCUAAAGCUAGACUUGGCUUACUAAACACCAUUUUGUCAUAAUAAACCCUAUCAGUCUCUUUUCGUGUAGGGUCCAACAAAUCUGCCAAGCUUGAUCCUUCUUUCCAACUUCCUCAAUGUUCACAAGUGCCAUCAUUAGUUCUGGUCCCAAAUACUCACCUUCCAUUGCUGUGAGCUGAUCUGGUUCUGCAAGAACAUGGCUGAUAAGACAUAGGUCAUGUUUACAUGGAAGUUGCUGAGCCCUAGUACUUCCUCUUUCUUAUUUCCAAUUUAACACAUAAAUUAAUCUAUCCAGGUAUGGGCAUCUUUAGUUAACAUCAACUCAGGCACUUCAUCCUUUUCUACUAUACCAAAGUUAUGCAACUAUUUUGGGAUUUCGCAAGGAACAUCCUCCAAUAGAGGUCAAGAUAUCGCUCUCUCAGGGGAGAUGGUCCCAAAACAGAUAGGCUCUGGAUUACAGCAUGGUGUAGGCAUCAUCACCACACUUUCUUAAGCUCUUCUCAAUAUUAUGCACUUCCCUAGAUGUGGGUUUUGAGGUACAUGAUCUCUUUUACCCUCAACUUUACUAUUAUCUCUCUCUAUCUCUCCUCUUACUUCUCUAUUGGGGUCGUCUUCUUCCUCCUUGUGUGACCUCCUUAAACUUAACAUUUCCAAAAGCUUCUAAAAUGGUAGGGAUUUUUAAUGAGUUCAUAUGGGCCUUAUGCUGCCUUUGAACCCUCAUUAUCAUAGAUGCUCCCAUCUCUCUAAUAGGUCUCCCAUCUUUACCUACUACGUACCACUUUCGGCCAAGUCGAGCUAAAUCUCUCUUAGUAACUAAGGAAAUUUGAUUCAUGGUUCUCUCUUGCCAUCCUUAUCUCACACUAUUAUGAUAAAUUAGCUGGGGAGGUUUCACAUCCACCUACCUAGGCAUUUUGGCUUCCUUAUCUUCAGGUUCUUCAGAAGCCUCAUAGUUUCUGAACACCUCAGAUAGGCCCUUAGGUUCUGAAUCUCCUCCCAAUCUCUAGAACACAUUCUUGGAGGUUUCCUUUUUUGCUCCUCUAUCUCUCUUCUUUUUACUAACUCCUUAAUCAAUAAUGGCACUCGAUGUUGGUACCUCGAGUUCACAUUCACACUGAUAUGUACUGCAUAACACCACUACAUUGACCACAGCUGCUUGAGGUCUAUCAUGCAACUUUCUAAGACCUUUUGAUGGCCUAACAGCUUGCCUUUUUUCUCCCCUCUCAUCCCAAGUAGACUUUGAUUUUCCUUUCUGAACCCAAUUAAGGUUGAUUAUGUUGAUUGGGGCUUUUAGGAAUGGAUAUGUGUCAAUCAUCAUGCUGGCUUGGGGUUUUUCCAAUAACAAUUUUCCCUUGACUUUGAGAUCUUGGAUUCAAUCUCUAAACUGCACAUAAUUAGCUAUGAAGUGAUUGAAGGUGUAGUGAAGUUUGCAGUAAUUCUUGCCUCUAAGCUCUUCGAGCCUAGGUAUCUUCUUGGUGUUGUCUAGCAAGAUUACUCUAGCCAUCACUAGCUCUUCAUAGGUAUCCACUCCCCUGGUUAAAUCAAAGGAAUGGGCCUGGUACAUUGGGGACUUCAUAGGCACAAAACCUCUAUCAUUCAUCAUGAUUUUUUGGUCUUUGAUAGGCUAUACCAAUCCAUUCACCAUUAAAGGUUUGAAAGGAGUGGUCAUCUCCAUAGCACAUAACUCAAUCCCUUCUCCCAAACUGCUAUCAUUUUCUCCUGACUCUAGGCCUUCAAACUCUAACUGGUGUAUUGGGGCUUUGUUCUUAUAGAAAUGAGGCACUUUAGAUGAGUGUUUCACCUAUUGUUCUUCUGUCAGCAACUUCUCAUACUUAGUAGCUGUAUUUACCAACUCUUGAAGCUCAUUAAAUUGUACAUCAUAGCCUUAGAGCCUUCUGGGCAAUGGCUAUGAGCUGAGCAUGGUUGAUUGGGAACUGGCACCUCACCUUGGUUCUCCUGAACCUCAUUAUGAAAUCCUCUGUAGACUUAUGCUUAUACUACUUUACCUCUACCAAAUCAUUGAUGGUCAUCUCUGGCUUCACCCUAUAAAACUACACAUGGAAGGCCAUCUCCAUUUGCCCCCAGUUGGCAAUGGAAUUAAGGGGUAACAAAGAAUACCACUAGGAGGCCAAGCCUACCAAUGAAUUUCCAAACAAUCUCAACUUGUAGUUAGGGUUGUCUUUGAAUACCACACUGUAGUUUGAAAACUUGAAAAUGUGGUCUCUGGAAGACGCAUUAUAGUUUUCCCCACUGAAGGUUGGGAAUGCGGGCAUCUUGAAGUUGAGAAGGAAAGGAUUAUGCUCAUCAAUGUACUUAGAAUAAAGCUUAUGGUAUGUUGUCCUGAACAUUAGGCGAGCUUGUGGCUGAGCAUUCUAGACCAUCAUCCUUCUUAGUUCUGCUAACUCAUUUCGGGUGUAAGAAGUUCCCCACUUCGGGCUACAAUCGAUGCCCGAGAAAGCUUCCUUUAUGGUUCAAGCUGCCUCUACCUAGCUUCUCCUCCCUUAUUAACCAAUGGUGCUGGCAUUACUCACAGCUAUAGGUAAACCUUUUCCGCCUGUCUAUCCCACUUGAUUAGUCGUCUCAAACUUCAUUCCUUCUUACUCGUUUUGCCUUCUACCAUCUAGUGGGAAUGGUAAAGGGUUGGCAAACUUGUCUCUUGGAUCUCUUUUUCAUCAGGUUAGCUGGUUCCAGCCUCUUCCUUCCUUUUCCUCUUAUCCUUCUUUUUUUCAAGUAAGGGGGACAAAGGAAUCACUGGUCCUUUCGUUGGACUUCUUUCUUUGGUUAGUUUCAUGGCAUAGCCAUCCCUUGGUGUCGAGUAUUCUGACUCCAGCUUUCUCUGUAGAGUUCCUGUUAGGGUACAGAGUCUGCUUACUGUUGGAAAUGUGCCCUAAAACCAAUCAUAUGAUGAUACUUUAUAGACAUUUCACAUGUUAAACUAAUCUAAUUUAAUAUAAAGGGCAAAGAUUAUUGUUUUAAGUUAUCUGAUAUAAAUGUUAUAUGCUUAAAUGAUAAGUCCAAGGAAUAUGUCAUUGGGAGAAUGUGAUAUAAAGAAGUUAGAUCCAAGAGACCAUUCUUUUUCUUAUACAUAUCUUAAAUGUUCCUGAUCAUAGGAUUGCCAAUUAGGCAUUAAUAGUCUGUUAAGAUCUGAUGUAUGAAAUAUGUCUUCUCCUAGGGAGAAUAACUGGUCUCGAGUUAUUUGUGUGACCGACACCAAGACAAGCAUGUAAGUGCUCAAUUGAGAAUGAGUACAUUGAACACGAUCAACGAGGAGUUCUCAUACUCAUGUCAAAUGAGAACUCAUGGUUGGGAUAAUGCAAAGUAGUCUUUUAACCUGAGGCAUCAUAGUUAUCUUGUGGUUAGGUCCUUGAUCUUUGACUAUGUCAAAAUCACUCCAUCAUAGGGUGUCCACAAUAUAGUUGGGGUUAAGCCACAUAGCAACGGAGGCAAGUCAAUGCGCAAUAAAGGCUGCCUUCAAACCGUUUGAGGCAGAAUAUUCUAUGAUAUGAUUAAAAAUCUCUGGCCAGAAUAUAAAUAAGAUUUAGGAAGUCGUUCCAAAUUACAUUCAAGGUAAUCAUAUAAGUAAAAAAUCACAUUGGAUAGUAGACAUGAAUAAACUAUCAAACUAAACAAUGUGGUCAAGAGUAUUGUAUUAAAGAAAGACCGUAUUGCAUUGUAAUCCUAAACUGAAUAGGUUCUCCACCUCUUCUAAUUAUCUUGGAUAGCCAUGACAUACUGCUAGGUGUCACUCAUGGUUUGUGGAAGCCCAAAAGGUGAGUAAUCACUAAAGGGAGAAUUGAAAGUAAGUUUCAAUUCACAAUCGAUUUGAAAAGUUCUAAUCGCCCAUUGCCUCGCUAAAAGGAACCUAAUGGAUCGUACACCGAGUAAAGUAGAGAUUGAAGAAACAACGGAGAUGAGUAAGGAUAAUUAAAUGGUUUAAUUAUUUAUAGCUAGGAUUAAUUAAUAUGUUAAUUAAUCAAACAAAUAUGUUCAUUAAAGACCUCGGGUUAGUUUUGGGAAUGGGAUUUGAAUGUCAAGCCCUUUAACUCAAGUUGUAUGACAACUUGAAAACAAAAGGGGCUUGAAAGCCCAAUGAACCCUUAAUGGCCGGCCAUAUAGAGAGGGAUAGUGAACUUGCCUUAAUUGCAAGUUUGUCACUCCAUUGUGAGGUGGUAUAAAGGCAACUUUAUAGCCAUUUCAUCCUUAGGGUUUCUUUGGAGAAAAGAUGAGAACACAAUGCUCUCUUUUUGUCUCUAAGAGGCCGGCCACCCUAGAGGAAAUUAGCUAGCAAUCUUACUUCCUCUAGGUCACUCAUCUCUUCAUCAAUGCUCUCCUUGGUGUGGAGACUUAGAGGUUCUCUAUUUUGGGAACUUGGAGAAUCCAUUCUACCAUCCUCAUCCAAGAAAUCCAUGAAGCUAAGAAAUAAGGAAUGAAGGCCCUAUCUUUUGGGUGAUUAGCCUUUGCUUAUGCAAAGAGGAAUCAACAAAGGUAUAAUAUUUCUCAACUCACUCUGUUCUUGAGUUGAGUCUUGGUUCACCACUCACUAGGCCUUCAAUUUCAUGGUAAAGUUUUGUUUUUGAGUGCAUACAAGCAUGAUUCCGCCUUUUAAUUGUUAAUUGCAUGCAUAGAUGUUGCUCAAAUGAACUAGUUUUCACAAAUAUUUCCUUCAAGUGGUAUCAGAGCCUAGGUCUAGCAGUUGGUGAAUCCUUUUGGGUUUUGUUCAUAGUCUUUGAUUUGAAUGUUGUAAUGGUUACAAGUUUUAUUCUUGCUUCUUUGAAUGUAAAUUUUGUUAGAAAAUUUGCCAUUUCAAAUGUUGUAGAUGUAGUUCAUAUGAGCAUGAAUUUUGGAGCUAAAAUUUGGUGCCAUGUUUUUUGGGAAAUUCGGCCAAAUCCAAAAGGCAGAUUUUUGGGUUCAUGAUUGUCUUGUUAAAAGUGUUUUAAAGUGACUUUUGGAACCCCUAAGUACCCUAGUAUGGUAAUAUGUUAUUUCCCUUAAGUUUGAGAGUUUUUUGGGUGUCUUUGGGUGAAAAAUGUUCAUAGAGCUCUUAUGGGUUUUCAUGGAUGUUCUUCAUUGUUCUUGUUAUGUUCUUGGCAAGAACUAAAAGGUUGGAGCUUUAGAUUCAAUGUGUUUGUUGUUUUUCAUAAAGUUUUGGUUUGUUAUUGAUUGGUGAUGGAUGAUUGGUGAUAGAUGAUUUGUGUUUUAUUAUUUGAUAAAUGCUACACUUUACCUAUAUCUUACAACCCAUACCAAUCAAACUUUUCAACCAUACCAAUCAACUUUUUAACCCAUACCUUUCACUUAUUCAACACUCUUUAAGAUUUUGAAUUUUUCAACAAAAACCAACCCCCACUCUCACUACCAAAACUGGCCAACCCUACAAGUAGGGUACUUUUAGGGUUUUUAUGCAAUUACAUAAAGUUUUAAUACUUUUGUGUAUUUGUGCUUUGACCCAAAAGUUUACAUUUUUACGUAAAGGCCCAAAAUCACUUAAGGACAAAUUGUUUUGCUCCUUUAAUGAAGUUUUUGUAUUUGUUCAAAUUUUUGGGUUCUAGUUGUAAUUAAAUGAAGUAGUGGACUUUUGUGUUUUUACAAAGUGAUCUCAAAAGUUUAUGUUUUGCAAUAUAGCCCAAAAAAUUGAGGUUAUUGCAUUUGGCCGAAAUAGUUGAGAACAAAAUAGUUUUGUAUCUUUAAACGAGAAAUGGAUUUUCAUUUCAUUUAGAUACAAAAACCAAAUGACAAUAUUGCGUUCAAGUUUUAUUAGUUAAAGCGUUAAUAAAUUAAAGGGUGAUUAUGAACCUAUGCCUACGAUAAUUGAGUUAUGUGAAAGGUCGUCUCUCAAAUUUGUUUGAACCAUGGGAAUGUGUAGAUUAGAUUUUGGUUGUAAUUUGAUAUGAUCAAAUGUUGUAAAAGAGCAUAAGAUCUUCUUUACUUUAAAGUAAUUUGCUUUGAUCAAAUGUUGUAAAAGAUCAUAAGCUCUUCUUUACUUUGAAGUACUCCUCUCUUGUUUUAUUUGAUAUGCAUGAAAUUGGAGUAGUAGGGUCCAAUGCCCAAUAAGAAAACAUCCCUUAAUAUUAUUAAAUGUGUACCUAAAAUCAAUCACUAUCCCUAGACCGAGAUCCAUCACUAGGCUCGUGUUGGAUGGAAUCAAAGGUUCAUAGUCGUCCUAAGGCCUUAAGGCAACUAUAUAGUCCAUCAAUGAAUGCAAAGCUUAUGUUAGUAGUAUAUUCUUGCUUUAAAAACCGUUUUACAAGCAUAGUGGGAGUAUUAUAUACUACUAAAUCAAUCAUAUGGACCAAUAGUUGUAAUAGGACCAAAUUGUUUUAAUGUGAUUAAAAUGCAUGCUAAUAUGUAACGAGACCUAAAAACCCUCAACCAAACCUUUAUUAAGUUGACAAGUGUGAGAGUGCUUUGAACACUCUUUCGUGGCCUUCCACCGUGGUAGGCUACAAUCGUUUGUGACUCGUACACCGACUUCACCCUAUCAUGGGGGAGUACAAAGUGUGUGCUUACACUCAGGAGGAGUCCUAUAUGCAUACAUGAUGUUGUGAAGGUAGGCAACGAGAAUGAUCAACAUCAUAUCAUUGUGAGGUUGUUCUUGAACCCUUACUCAAACUUGCAUGGUGGGAAUGACUUAACUAAAAGCAAUGGAGCCAACAUCGUAUCAUUGUGAAGCAUCAUUCUCUAGAGGCCAAAUAAGAUGGGAACUUACAUGAGAUGUAAAUGAGUAAGCGUACUCUCUCAUUAUUAUUGUUGCUAGCCAAGAGCAUAUCAUAGUAAGGUGGGCUCGGUAAUAAUGAGCCUCUCAUACCCUGCUAAGAGUUCCUUCCAAAACUCUAAAAUUUCGAUGAGGGAUAUGGAAUUUGCCAAAAAUAGCGGGUGGUGCUAUUUGAUUUAAAGACCUGGAUCAAAUGGCUUAAAAUCAAUCAAUUUAUAUUCGGUAUGUAUUUAUUUACCGAUAUAUUUGCAAACGUUUUCCAAAACUUGACAAAGAAAAGCCUAAGGCUCUAGUUUCCGGACUUGGUAGCACAAUCCCAUAGAUUGUCUUGAAUGGAUUGUAUAUGUACCUAAGUAGUCUCAUCCUCACAAUCUUCCUAUUGAUAAUGUAUCAUUCGAAGAACAUGUUAGAUAAGUCUAUCAUAAAGAGGACAACACAAACAACCAAUGCUUAUUCCUUUGUUGCAUGAACAAAGGAACUUAUGAAGAUUAGCACAAAGACAUACACUUUUAGUGUCAUAGUUCUUCACUUACAAAUCAUUGUAUGAAGAAAUAUGAGUUGCUUUGAACAACCCUUAGUUAAUGCAAACACUAGUGCUUGUUUCUUUGUUAAAUGAACAAGGAACUUGAGAAGUAAGCACAAGGGCAUGGACACUUUAUGUGCCAUGAUUCUUCACUUACAAAUUGUUGUAUGAAGAAAUGAGAGUUGCCUUGAACAACUCUUGAAUGUUUGUAAUCUUGUUUAGAACAAGAUGGUUGGUUGACAAAAAUAGUCCAUCAAUUUGGACUUAUGAUGAUUUUGAAUCAUUAAGUGUUGAAGUGUUAAACCACUUCACGAGACGAAAACUAGCCAAGGACUUCACCUUUGAGUCCCUAUCCAAAUGGUUCACUAAGUUUAUUGUAAACUAUAUAGUGAACAAUAACCGCACUCUCUCCAAAUUAUUUGAUGCGUAUAACACAAUUGAAAUAAGUUUCAAGAGAGAUAGUGGGAGUUUAGGGACCAUGACUAUUGUACUCAAUGGAGAAGUCAAAUGAAGAAGGCGAAUAACUCCAAGGGAACAAACUUUCUUAAUGAAAGGAUGGACAUUGGAAGGGGUAUUUGCAAGAAAUGUCUUGCAAGUGUCAAGAACACACAUUUCGAAGGCGGUGUAAAAUGUUCUUGAAUAGUUCAAAACAGUUGGUUCUUCUACUUGAAUGUUUGAUUCCAUAUUAGUAACUAUGUUUUACAAUCGUUGUAAAAGUGUGGCUAAAAAGAAAUCGAAGAUUAAUGAGAGAAGAGAAAGUACUUCACAUUCAGAACGUGAAUCAAAUAUAGAUCUCUGUGAAGCAAAUAGUGCUUACUUCCUCAUAUGAACAACCAAAGAAAUUGGAAAACCAAAGAUUGUCUUUACAUUCCAAUUUGAAUAAGGAACUUAAUUCCAUCACUAUAGUUUUAAGAGAUGGAUAAUUGUUUUGUUUGAAAAACAUUGUUCUUUAUUAAUGAAUGAUUGGAUUAUAGUAAUCUGAUUAAUUGUGUCUAUAUUGUAGAGAUAAUGUGGUAGUGUUAACUGUUUAGAAUAUAACGAUGCUUAAAACCCAAAAGUUGCAAGGUAGUGACUAAUCCCACCGAGUUGUGUUACCUCUAAAACAUAAAUUAUAAGUUGGUUAUAGAUGGAUGCUUUGGAUCAUUAGAUCCGGAUCCAAUGCGUUCUUGUUAAAACUGUAUAAAGGUGAAAUGUUUGAGUCUUUAUUCUUUUGGAAAGAAUAAAGAAUCACAAAGUUGCUGAGGUUAAUUCACUUAGAUGUUAGUGGCACUUGUCAACAACAUAAUACUACUCAUGUUGUAUGACAUUCACCGAAGAUCGAUCUUCGUUGGACUAUUGUUUAUUUUGAAUAAACACAAGUCCGAAUACUUUGCAAAAGGUUUCAAAGAAUUCAAGAAUGUAAGUUGAUGAGUAAGACGUCUAAAGUAUUACCUCCUUAGAUUUGAUCAAAGGAAAAAUAACAUUUUAAAAGAGUUUCCUUGAAAGAUAUCAAGAAAAGUAGCAUCAUAUGAUAAUGGAUCUCCAUUGGGAGAAGAACGAACUCGAAUAAGAUUUAUUUCUUUGGAUGUUAUCAAUUACCCAUAUUUAGGAUAUAUACUUCUAAAACAAUAUGAUUGUCGAUUAGAAGAUCUUCCAAAAUUUUCAUGACUUGGAAAGAAAGACAAGUCUUAAGCAUGUUAAGAUUUAAGGUUGUGUGCUAAUAAGCAAUAUUUGUUGAGAACAAUCUUGUUUGAUAUCCUUAUAUUAACCUUUGGAUAUCACUUCUACAAACCAACUAACAAAUGUUGUUUGUUGGGUAGUUUUGUAAUCCUACACUAGGAUUUGCUUAAGAUAGAGCAAAUGAACGAGAGAUAGAACUCAAAGAAUGGGUUCUUUAAGAGACAAGAUAAUAAUCAACAAAUAUAACAACCUAGUUCCUACACCACAGGCUCCAAGGUAGUCGAGAAGGAUUUAUAAACUGUCUCAGUUGAAUGGUUUGAACUUUAUGACUAUGUCAGAGUUACACCUCUUAAUUUGAAAGAAAUAAGAAUGAAAAUCCUUAUGACUACAUUGAGUGUAUAUAUAACAUAUACUCAAGGAAAUGGCAUAGUAACAUUUGACCCAAAACAAUGAAACCUACAUAGCUAAAUGGGAGCUUAAGGUGACUACAAUCAACGAGAUUGGUUGACUUGGAAGAAACCAUCUUUGAUGUAGCCUUGGUUUCUAUAAAUUCGAAGAUUGCUAGCUAUAACUAAACUGUGAUUCAAUGUUUGGACAUAAUAUGGGUUUCCAAAACCAUUAUCAAGAUAGUCUUGAUAAUAUAUGUCUAAGACUAGGAAUCACAAGACAUGUAAGUUGUAGAGAUCUAUCCAUCAUGAAUCUUAGCAAGCUAGUAGGAGCUAUAAGCGUCUUAUGAGAGAGAUCAAAUCGUUUGAUUCCUCAUAAGAUGUAAAUGAAUCUUUUGUUUACUAGGUUUACAAAAGAUUAGUGGGAGUUAAUCAUAUUCCUAAAUUUGAACAUAUAUAUGAUAUAUUAAUUUUAGAAAUUCUUCUUCGUUAAAGUUAUGACUUUAAAACAUUCUAUAACGAUAGAAUGUAUAUGGGAAACAUAGUCUAUAUGCAUGGGAUGAAAAUCUAUAAUGAUAGAUUUUAGGAUAUAGUUGGAUUAUAUCAAGCCCUAAUGAUAGACAAAAGAUGCUAGGAAGUUUCUCAUAUAAUGAUAAACUUCAAUCAGAAUGACAAUUCUAGUGAGACUAAGAAGUUACUCUUCUCAAAGGGAACGUACCCUUUGACUCCCAAAGAAGUUUAAUGCGUAAAUAGAAUCCUUUAUGCAUAUGCAUAAGGGUGAUUUACGUAUUACAUAUUGUAUGAAAAAACAUUGAUAUGAGUUGUACCAAGAUCGGUACAAGAUGAUAUCAGUGCAAGCCCAGCAUCAGACCCAUGGCAACUGUCAAGUGAGUCCUUAAGUAUUUAAGAAAUACUAAAGGAUAGAUUCCACAAGAAUGAGAAAGAAUUAGAGUAAUGCAAUGGAAGCGUAAAUGUAUUAGAUUAUGAAUCUAAUAUCAUAUCCAUGACAUGGAUGUCUCUUCAUUUUGAAUGAAUAGAUAAUUGGAUAUCUCUUUAUUAUGAGUAUAGAGAUAUAUGGGUGGAGACAUUAAAAGUAAUGACUUUAGUGUGUUCCAUCGUGCAUGCAAAAUAUAUCAUCAUAUAGAAGCUUACAACCAUGUUGUUUGGAUGGGAAAGUUCAUUUAUGAACUCUCCAUUCAGUUCUAACCAGAAAGCUUCACUAGUCACUAAUGGGGCGAUAGCUCAAGCUGGGGAAUCAAGGUCUCAUCAAAAUCCGAACUCAAAUGAGAGACUGAACCACAUGAUUAAGAAUCAUGUAUAAUGGUGAUGUCGUUAUUCUUAAGGUUGCUUCUAUGGAUAACAUAUAAAUAUCCAUUGUCUAGGCCUACUACUCAGCCAUUUAUGAAAUGAAUUCAAAAGAGGUAUCAUCACUGAUGACCAAGCUGAUUGGCUCUAAAGCAAGUGGGAGAUUGUUGAAAAUGUGUCCUAAAACCAAUCAUAUGAUGAUAUUUUACGGACAUUUCACAUGUUAAACUAAUCUAGUUUAAUAUAAAGGGCAAAGAUUAUUAUUUUAAGCCAUCUCAUAUAAAUGUUAUAUGCUUAAACAAUAAGUCUAACGAAUAUGUAAUUGGGAGAAUGUGAUAUAAAGAAGUUAGAUUCAAGAUACCAUUCUCUUUCUUAUACAUAUCCUAAACGUUCCAGAUCAUAAGAUUGCCAAUUGGGUAUUGACAGUCCGUUAAGAUCAAUACGUGCUAUGUCUUUCCUUAAGGAGAAUGAUUGGUCUUGAGUCAUUGGUGUGACCGACACCAGGACAAGGAUGUAGGUGCUCAAUAGAGAAUGAGUACACUGAACACGAUCAAUGAGGAGUUCUCAUACUCAUGUCACAUGAGAACUCAUGGUUGGGAUAAUGCAAAGUAGUCAUUUGACCUGAGGCAUCAUAGUUGUCUUGUUGUUAGGUCUUUGAUCUUUGACUAUGUCAAAGUCACUCCGUCAAAGGGCGUCCACAACAUAGUUAGGGUUAAGCCACUUAGCCACAGAGACAAGUGAAUGCACAAUAAGGGAUCUUUAGCCUUCAAACCAUUUGAGGGAGAAUACUCUAUGAUAUGAUUAAGAAUUGGAGCUUUCGAGCCGAUAUUAUUGAAGGAAACAUUUGUGAAAACAAGUUCAUUUAAGCAGCAUCUACAACAUGCAAUUAACAAUUAAAGGCAGAAUCAUGCUUGUAUGCACUCAAAAACAAAACUAUGCCCAUGAAAUUCAAGGCCUAGUGAGUGUGGUGAACUAAGACUCAACUCAAGUACAAAGUGAGUUGAGAAAUAUUAUACCUUUGUUAAUUCCUUUUUGCAUAAGCAAAGGCUAAUCACCCAAGAGAUAGGUCCUUCAUUCCUUACUUCUUAGCUCCACGGAUUUCUUAGAUGAGGAUGGUAGAAUGGAUUCUCCAAGUUCCCAAAAUAGAGAACCUCUAAGUCUCCACACCAAGGAGAGACUAGAAUAAGAGAUGAGUAACCUUGGAGGAAGGAAGAUUGCUAGCUAAUCUCCUGCAAGGGGCCGGCCUCCUAGAGAGAAAGGGAGAGACUUGUUCUAUCCAAUUUCCUCUAAAAGAACCCUAAAUGAAUUUUGGCUAUGAAGUUCUUUAUAUAGUCACUUCACUUCAGUGACAUAGAGAACCAAAACCCUAUUUCAUCAAUAUGGCUAGCCUUCAAUGGUCUUUGGGUGAUUAAGGCCCUCUUGAAUCUUUAUUCAUUAAGUUGUCAUACAACUUAAGUCAAUUGGCUUAACAUUCGAAGCUCAUUAGGCCUUGAGGCUCAAAACUAACCCGAGGUCUAAAACAAACUUAUUUGUUUGAUUAAUUAACAUAUUAAUUAAUCCUAGCCAUAAACAAUUAAACCAUUUAAUUGUUCUUACUCAAUUCUGUUGUUUCUUCAAUCUCUACCUUACACGGUGUACGAUUCAUUAGGUUCCUUUUAGCGAGGCAGUGCGCGAUUGUUACUCUUAACGACCGAUUGUGAAUUGAAACAACAUUUCAAUUCUUCCUUUGAUGAAGAUUACCAGGGCUUCCAUAAACCAUGAGUGACACCUAACAGUAUAUCAUGGCUACCUAAGCUAAUCAAAAGAGGCGGAUAACCUAUUCAUUUUAGGAUUACAAUGCAAUGCGGUCUUUCUUUAAUACAAUACUCUUCACCACAUUGUUUCGUUUGAUAGGUUAUUCAUGUCUACCAUCCAAUGUGAUUCUUUUACUUCUAUGAUUACCUUGAAUGCGAUUUGGAACGACUUCCUAAAUCUUAUUCAUACUCUGGCCAAAGAUUCUUAAAUAUUCUCCCUCAAAUGGUUUGAAGGUUAAAGAUCCCUUGUUGUGCAUUCACUUGCCUCCAUGGCUAAGUGGCUUAACCCCAACUAUGUCAUGGAUACCCUCUCACGGAGUGACUUUGAUAUAGUCAAAGAUCAAUGGCCUAACCACAAGACAAUUAUGAUGCCUCAGAUCAAAUGACUAUUUGGCAUUAUCCCAACCAUGAGUUCUCAUGUGACAUGAGUAUGAGAACUCCUUGUUGAUCAUGUUCAGUGGACUCAUUCUCUAUUGAGCACCUACAUGCUUAUCUUGGUGUUAGUCACACCAAUGACUCGAGACCAGUCACUCUCCCUAAGAAAAGACAUAGCACGUAUUGAUGUUAAAGGACUAUCAAUGCCCAAUUGGCAAUCAUAUGAUCAGGAACAUUUAGGAUAUAUAUACGAAAGAGAAUGGUCUCAUGAAUCUAACUUCUUUAGAUCACAUCCUCCCAAUUACAUAUUCCUUGGACUUAUCGCUUAAGCAUAUAACAUUUAUAUAAGACGGCUUCAAACAAUAAUCUUUGCCUUUUAUAUUAAACUAGAUUAAUUUAACAUAUGAAAUAUCCGUAAUGUAUCAUCAUAUGAUUGGAUUUAAGGCACAUUUCCAACAAUUAUAAAGGCGAGUGCCAACUUUUCAUCCUCGGGGUAUCGUGAUUCGGCCCAUCAUAAUGCUCGGCUAACAUAGUAUACCAGUUACUUCCCUUAUAAGACAGAGAUAAUUGUAGAUGGUGAGACUAAUAAAUGUAUAUAUAGUGGCUCAUUAUGCUUGAA
rnacentral:lncRNA from 1 species